CCGAGCAAAAUCCGCAAUAAUCCUAAUUUCCUCACUUCACUCCUCAGUUCUUACUUGUCAAAUUUCGGGACGAAAUUUCUUUCAAGUUGGGGAUGAUGUGACAACCCGAAUAUUUAAGGUUACUACUUAAACACCACAACCCUUGGCAUGUGCCUUUACGUUUAAUUGCUUUUAUAUUACGACUUUACGAUACUUAGCAGGUCACAUCCAUGCGUUACUAAAUGAUUAGGUGUAUGUCAACUCUGCGUGAAACCGUUAAACGUUUAAAUGAGCCGUUUAGAUAAUUUAGGGAAUUAAUUAUAUUGGGCCACGAAAUUGCUCAUCGCACUUCACCUCGGCCUCUCGGCCCAUGCAUUAAACCAGGCCCUAAAGCCAAACACUUGUAGUGGAUUUCAUACCUUUACCCCGGCCCACAGUUCUGUUCGGUCAACAACACACCAGCCCAUACUCUUUAUGGGGUUACUUACUUGUAGAACAAGGGGUUGAGGGAAUACGUAUAACACAUAAAGCUAUCAAAAAGAAAACCCUAGUGCAUCAUGCUCCUGUCGACGAUCAGCCCUAUCGUUCCAUCACCUAUGGCAGCCAUUAAGUGUAAUCCCCUUGAAUCCCUGGGCGCACCCCUAUUCACGGCGGCAGUGUAACACGACUCGCCGGAGACACGAAGGCGUUGCCGGAAGUAACCGAAGCUCUCUCAUCCGAAGCCCCACUCCCUAAACUCUCCGGAUUUGGUUGACCAACUUGGAACGGGUAAUGUAACGUAAUAUACCGAGCAAAUCUAAGGUCAUUAACGUUUGGAACAUGGACUUGCUAUCUGGGAGUGCUGGAGUGGUCAUGGAUCGAGACUCUUGGUUUCACUUAUAAACAAAGCAUUGAUUUUGGUUAUUAUUAUGAAACGAUUACAUGCUUCCGCUACACAACUUUUGAGAAUUGAUAACAUGUUGACAUCU